CCCUUAGAUGUUCUGGGCCGCACGCGCGCUACACUGAUGCAUUCAACGAGUCUAAAACCUGCUCUGAUAGGGGUGGGUAAUCUUUUGAAUGUGCAUCGUGAUUGGGAUAGAUGAUUGCAAUUUUUCAUCUUCAACGAGGAAUGCCUAGUAAACGCAAGUCAUCAGCUUGCAUUGAUUACGUCCCUGCCCUUGUACACACCGCCCGUCGCUCCUACCGAUUGAAUGAUCCGAUGAAUAUCAUGGAUUGAGGAUGCAAGUAGGUUCGCCUAUCUUCAUCUUCGAGAAGUGAAGUAAAUCUUAUCAUUUAGAGGAAGGAGAAGUCGUAACA
rnacentral:rRNA from 1 species